rnacentral:lncRNA from 1 species
UUGCUUCCUCGCGCUGGGAAUGAGAAGUUUUUUACAAGUGAUUUUGGUACAAAGUGAACACCCCGAUCCCUUUGUGGGAUCUCCUAUUUAUAAUAAACUAAAGAAACUGCCUACAGGAAAAAAACUUCUAAAAAUAACAGACGUCGUGUCACACGAUCUACAAACUGCUCCAUACACGAUCUACAAAUUGCUCCAUAUUCUGGCGCUUAUUCUCCAUGUAACUGCUA